AUUGAACGCUGGCGGCAUGCCUUACACAUGCAAGUCGAACGGCAGCACGGGAGCAAUCCUGGUGGCGAGUGGCGAACGGGUGAGUAAUAUAUCGGAACGUGCCCAGUAAUGGGGGAUAGCCCGGCGAAAGCCGGAUUAAUACCGCAUACGACCUACGGGUGAAAGCAGGGGAUCGCAAGACCUUGCGUUAUUGGAGCGGCCGAUAUCAGAUUAGCUUGUUGGUGGGGUAAAAGCCUACCAAGGCAACGAUCUGUAGCUGGUCUGAGAGGACGACCAGCCACACUGGGACUGAGACACGGCCCAGACUCCUACGGGAGGCAGCAGUGGGGAAUUUUGGACAAUGGGCGCAAGCCUGAUCCAGCCAUGCCGCGUGCGGGAAGAAGGCCUUCGGGUUGUAAACCGCUUUUGUCAGGGAAGAAACGGCUUUCGCUAAUAUCGAGAGCUAAUGACGGUACCUGAAGAAUAAGCACCGGCUAACUACGUGCCAGCCGCCGCCGUAAUAC
rnacentral:rRNA from 1 species